UCAAAAUUGUUUUUUUUCUUACCCAUAUUUUAAAGUGUGACUAAUAAGUGCGUACAUAUUAAUGUGGAAUCCGAUUUCUAUUCUACAAAAAUCGUGGUACCUACUGCUAUUAUUUCAACUAUUACCCGCCAACAUAAUUGCAGUUAUUCUACUAAGUAUAUACACAUAGGUAUUACCUACAUGCCAACACACGCACGCAGGCACACAUAACUAGUGUAGUCGAUUUCAAAUAAUUAUUUACAAUUUUGGUAAUUUGUUAGGUACAUUGGUAAGUAACAACGUUCAAAAAGAAGUUCUUCAUACACUAACAUUUAUUAAACAUGAACUAAGAUGUGAAGAUGAAAUUGAAUUGGGCCAAAGACUAGAAAUUUUAGAAACACGAUCAGAUAGUAAUGUUCAUAAUGAUAAUAGCAGUAAGCCAUUUAGCUUGUUGAAUGAUAUGGCUGAUUGUGCUAUACCAUUGAAUAAUGAAGUAGAUCUUAUUAUAUUUGAAGAUAACAUUUCCGGAGAUAAUAUAUUCCGAUCUAAUUUGAAUACAUUGGCAGAAAACAUGUAAAAGCUAUGGUUAAUAGAUUUUUGUACAAACUGUUCAAUGAUGAACUACUAAAAGACUAUUUGUUUACUGGCAAAACAGGAAAAAAAAAUUUUUCAACAUUGGCAAUAUGCUCUGUAAUUUUUGAUACUCUAAAACAACAUAAAAAAUUCAAAUGUGUAUCACAAAAUGAAAUCGAACAAAUUAUUAAAUAUAUUUUUGCACAAGCAACAUUUGAUUUUCAACGACUAGAUGCUAAGUUAAUGAAGGACUAAUUUUUUUUUAUAUAUACAUAAUUUAUUAUUAGCUAGUUAUGUAUCUUGGUAAUAUAUUUUUUAAGUACAACAGUUGAUUAUUUUUUUUUUUUUUAAUUUAAUAUUUUUACUUUAUUAUAAUAUAUUUUCUAUAACGGACUAAUUUUUUUUAUAAUCUGUAGGGUAUGGUACUCUGUUCCAUUUAAGAGUGAACCGGUUUCGCGCUAAAUAUAAUUAAUUAUAUUAUUAAAUAUAAUUACUUAUCGCCUUUUAUCUAUUAAACCAACUAUAAUUGCAAUUUUUCUAAAAAGCCUAUGAGAUUAAAUGAAGUACUAAGAUGGAAAGCAACAAAGUUUAGAUCAUUUUUGCUAUAUACUGGGCCAAUAGUCUUAAAAGGAAUUCUAUUAAUAUUCUAUUCUUUUAAUUUACCUCUAUGUAGUUUUUAGAAUUAUUUUAUCUCUCCUAAAAUUCCUGAAAAAAUGGUUAAUGCCAGUGAAAAAUUAUUAUUACAUUUUGUUGAAAAAUUUGAGGAGCUCUGUGGGGAACAAUUUGUAUCACAAAAUAUCCAUGGACUGAUACAUAUAUUUGAUGAUUAUUGAUAAUUUGGUUCUCUAGAGAAGUGCUCAUGAUUUCCUUUUGAAAAUUACAUGAAAUUUAAAAAAAAAAUGGUUAGGAAACAUGAGAAAUCUUUGGAGCAAGUAAUCAACCGCUAUCAAGAAUUUAUAACAUUUAUUGAAUGAAAAUUUGAAUGGCAAAAAAUUAGAUACCAACGUUACUUGAACACUUUACUGCACCUUUACUGCACCUCAAUUUUAAACAUUUAUUAGCAAUGGCUAUGCGUUCUGCGAUUGGUAGACAGUUAUUGCUGGCCAUCGUCGUUUGUCGGGCACCUGUGCUAACGCUCUCACUAAUGUCCGGAUGGUGGUGGGGUUGCACGGAAAAAACGUGUUUUAGUCAGCCGAGUGGUUCAAUUUUAGAUGGAACAGAGUAUACCCUGAUAUUAUAUUUUACACAACAGUUUAUUAUUUUAUUUUAUUUUUUCUUAGAAAAAAAAAAUUUAAUAUUAAUCUAU